AAGGUAGUUGUGACCUUGACAUUCUUCAUAAUUACUCUCACGAUUUUUCCUGGUACCAGAUGGGUAUAAAAAGGGAUCUAUGGGACUGUCCCAGCAUAUUUGCUUGUCUCCUGCAGUGAGUUAACAAGUGACUUCUCAAAAUGAACUACUUGUUGUUCGCCCUCUUGGUCAUCUUUGCCAUCGUGGCCACCACCUUGGCUCAGUAUCCCUAUUACAGCACCUAUUACAACACCCAUUACGCAUACCCCUAUGCCUACCACUAUGGCGCUGCCCCCUUGAGUUACGUAUGGAAAUGAGCACUUAUCACCAACAGGUACCGACUGGACUGAAAUGGACUGAUGGCUGGAUACGGAUUGGAUGAAGCUUGGAAAUUUCUCUCCUAAAUUCUGUUUUCCCGUUCUCUGCCCAACUUUCUACUGUCCCAUCUCUGAACUGUCGACUUUUACUUGUGAAUAAAUUCAAAAAAAUUGCCCAA